UUUAUGGUGCGGGGCGACGGUUCCGUGCCGCCUUUCCCCGGAAAGGAGGCCGGCGAAGAGGGAAUGCGGUGCGGCGCCAGGGCGCCCAGGCCGCGGCUGUACCCGCAACUGUAGGCGGUGAGCCCACCCCCAUGACAGCCACUGGCGGUAACAGGCCGGGAAGGCCGGGGGUCCGGGCCUGGACCCGCGAGCCAGGAGACCUGCCGUCACCACCCCGCGUAU
rnacentral:ncRNA from 2 species